AUUUCACAUUUUAAAACAAUUGUUUCUUAAACAAAAGUAGCCUUUUAAAGACAAAGCUAAAAUUUAUACUUUAAAAAUUCCUCAAUUAAUUUAGUCAACUGACCUCCACUUAGUUAUCAAAAAGUGCAGUUAAACCCCUACUGUAAGCCCCCAUGCAUUAUGAGAGGGGGUGGGGAUAGAGAGGGGGACAGGGAGUGAAGGGAAAGAGAAGAGGGGUUGUUAUACUCAGCCUUUUAUUAACCAGUUUCUUUCAUUCUAGCGGGCCUUUAUAUUUUAGAGAAAUAAAAGUGAUCUGGGGCUCUAUCCGUUCUCACCUAAAAUCUUGGAGUAGGUAAUGGCUGUCUACAACCUGGUCCAACAUAUGCCCCCCAAACUAAAACAAACAAACUCAUUUGCCAUACAAAUUGUUUACGAUUCAUUAAAAAGCAAAAUUGCAUGUCCUGGUGCUGGCAGCUGAGGCCGAGAGCCUCCGGGCGGAGGGGCAUUCACUGAGUUGCCUUUGUAUGCCGGGAGGACAAGCCGGAGGCUCCCACUCUGCAGCCGGAGUCUGUGCAGCCAGAUGACGCAUGAGCUUCCAGUUUUAACCUUCAACUCUGUUGCCUCCCAUGGUUCGCUGGAUAUUUCCCAGGUCAGUCACAAGAAGCUUAAUGAUAAUGCAGAGAACACCAAACUGGAAAGCAGGACAUGUGGAUUCUAGCCAGGACCAUGCCACUAACCCACUGCAUACUCUUGGGUAAUUCUUAUGUCAAAAGUGUUUGAGAAUUCUAUUGUAUAUUCUCCUGUGUAUGGGCCAUGGAUGGAGGAGAUCUGCAUAAUUUGAAUCGACCCUAACAAUCAAUAGAUGGGAACUGUCUCAGCCACAGCAAUAGGGAAAGAAGCUACUCAAUCCUACACAAGGUACUUGGUGAUGCUCUCAACCACAUGGUCCAAGAUUGCUUACUACCAUGCCUGGAUUCCAUCCAGAAUGAAGGGGGAGAGUGGGAAGAGGCAAACAUGCCUUUCCCUUUAAAGGGCAGGUGAGUCCUACAGCAGAGUCACCUCUUUGCAUCCGAACCUGCAUCGUGGAAGACGAACCUGCAUCGUGGAAGACGGUUGGGGCUGUGUUUCCAGCAGGCUGCCCAGCUUUUCCGGAGGUUCCUCUGAGGUAUGGUUUGCACUGCCCACAACCAUAGAUCCCAGCCUACACCCAGGGGUGGCACCGAUCGGCUCCUUUUCCUCACUGCUUUACAGCAGCAAGAGCCAGUGCCUACAAGAAGAUCUCUUCAAGAAAUUCUGUAAGGCAGCAGCUGUGCAAGUACCAGAGCUCAUGACUGUCAAGUUGACCCUGGAUGUGGAGAUCGCCAUCUACUGCAAGCCUCUGGAGGGCGAGGAGAACCGGCUGGACUCUGGGAUGCAGAACAUGAGUAUCCACACCAACACCACCCUUGGCUACUCAGAUGGGCUGAUGAACCCAUUUUACGGGAACCUCAACUAUGGCCUGGGCUUCCAGGCCAACCUGGGCUCUGGUGGGUGCUCUUGCUCCUUCAGUUGCACCAACUCCUUCAAGAUGGUGGUUGCGAAGAAGAUUGAGACCCAAGAUUGAGACCCAAGAUGGGAAGCUGGUGUCUGAAUCAUCUGAUGUCCUCCCCAAGUGAAUGACUACUGUGGGCCCUCCUGUCCUCCAGGCCUUGGGAAAGGAGCUGUGCAGGGGAGCAGUGGGCACAGGAAGCCCAGCCUGAGGCUCAGUCCCAGUCCUCAGCUCACCCUUGGGGUGGGGGUUUACUGCCAGGGGGACUGCCUCUUUCUCAUGCCCCCAACUAAAAGCCAAAUCAAGUGGGUUUGGUUUUUUUUUCCAA